UCAGCCCAUGAAAUCGAAUGCAGAUCUUCCUGAUGUGAGAUUUACAUAAAUAUGUCAAAGUCUCAACCUCAUGCUGCCCUCCCCCAUCCUCCUAAACCUGUGGAUACAAAUGCAGAUUUCCUUAAUGUUCAAUGGUGCGUGUUCUUCUAAUGGCCGCCUUCCCACUGGAGGUUUUGAUCCACAGCAAUUUAAAAGGAGGACAGAGCAAAACGGACAUCGGCACAGAGUGAAGAACUGCCCUUCACAAGGACACUAUGACAGCCAUAUAUAUGGCGGUAAGGAAGAGGUUUCCCAAUGUGUCCAGAAGGGCUUUGAGGAUUGCAGUGAAAGCUGGGGGAACUGAGACUGCUGGAGAAGGAAAAGAAAUUACAUUUUAAGUAUGUUGACUUAUGUUAAUACAAUCACACAGAAAAUAUACACAUACACACACACACACAUAUAUAUAUAUGUAUAUAUGUGUGUGUGUGUGUGUGUGUGUUUCUUUUAGAAUGUUUAAGUAUGUAAUGAGAAUAAAAUUAUAAA
rnacentral:lncRNA from 1 species